ACUGCACGCGAGUGCGAUAGGGGGACUCCGAGUGCGAGGGCAUAUAGUCCUCGCUUUUCUGGACCGUAAGGAGGUCCAAGAAUAAGGGCUGGGCAAGACCGGUGCCAGCCGCCGCGGUAAUACCGGCAGCCCGAGUGAUGGCCGCGAUUAUUGGGCCUAAAGCGUUCGUAGCCUGCCGGACAAGUCCGUUGGGAAAUCCACGCGCUCAACGCGUGGGCGUCCAGCGGAAACUGUCCGGCUUGGGGCCGGAAGACUCGAGGGGUACGUCUGGGGUAGGAGUGAAAUCCCGUAAUCCCGGAAGGACCGCCAGUAGCGAAAGCGCCACG
rnacentral:rRNA from 1 species